AAAGAAUAUCAAGGCUCAAUACUAAAUACGUACAAGUACAGGGAGCCGUUUACAAUUUGUCGGAAGUCUGUUCUCUCUACAUCAAUAAUCUCGCAAAUUUUCUCAAAAACAUUUCAUCAAACAGUAUCCACUAUUCGAAUUCGGUUUUAUUGAGCCCUCUCUCGUCGCCUCGAUUUCGAUUGGUAACCGAUAGAAGUUACAAUGAAAGAGAGGAAUACAUCUCGAUCUCGCAGCUGCCUCUUGGAAUGGAUUGAACUUUGAAGCCCUCCUCUCCGCAAUUGGGAAGUGGCCAUUCCAGUCUCGAGUUCAAGGCAUGAGAGUGAUUACUUGAUGACAACAGAUGAUGAAUUGAGGAAGAUGCUAACACAAAUUUUCAUUGACAGUGCCAUUUUGAGGAAACAAAAUGCAUUUGUAUUGACCAUUUAUCUCAGCAAGGCAUGUGUGCUCUGCUCCAAAGAAACACAUCAAAUAAUGUAUUUGUAUUGACCAUGUAUAUGUUAUAUUUAUUUUGUACUAA